rnacentral:hammerhead_ribozyme from 1 species
GUUUAUAUAAGGGUCCCAAAUAGGACGAAACGCGCGUCCUGGAU